UACGGAGGGGGCAAGCGUUGUUCGGAAUCAUUGGGCGUAAAGGGCGCGUAGGCGGUUCUGUAUGUCUCCCGUGAAAGCGUACGGCUCAACUGUAUGUUGUCGGUGGAAACUGCAGGACUUGAGGCUGGGAGGGGCUGGUGGAAUUCCCGGUGUAGCGGUGAAAUGCGUAGAUAUCAGGAGGAAUACCGGUGGCGAAGGCAGGUCUCUGGGCUGACACUGACGCUCAUGCACGAAAGCGUGGGGAGCAAACAGG
rnacentral:rRNA from 1 species